rnacentral:rRNA from 1 species
AUUGAACGCUGGCGGCAUGCUUUACACAUGCAAGUCGAACGGUAACAGGCCGCAAGGUGCUGACGGGUGGCGAACGGGUGAGUAAUGCAUCGGAACGUGCCCAGUCGUGGGGGAUAACUACUCGAAAGAGUAGCUAAUACCGCAUACGAUCUAUGGAUGAAAGCGGGGGACCGUAAGGCCUCGCGCGAUUGGAGCGGCCGAUGUCAGAUUAGGUAGUUGGUGGGGUAAAGGCUCACCAAGCCAACGAUCUGUAGCUGGUCUGAGAGGACGACCAGCCACACUGGGACUGAGACACGGCCCAGACUCCUACGGGAGGCAGCAGUGGGGAAUUUUGGACAAUGGGCGCAAGCCUGAUCCAGCAAUGCCGCGUGCAGGAAGAAGGCCUUCGGGUUGUAAACUGCUUUUGUACGGAACGAAACGGCUCUGGUUAAUACCCGGGGCUAAUGACGGUACCGUAAGAAUAAGCACCGGCUAACUACGUG